GUAGGUGGCAAGCGUUGUCCGGAAUUAUUGGGCGUAAAGCGCGCGCAGGCGGUUCUUUAAGUCUGAUGUGAAAGCCCACGGGCUCAACCGUGGAGGGUCAUUGGAAACUGGAGAACUUGAGUACAGAAGAGGAAAGCGGAAUUCCACGUGUAGCGGUGAAAUGCGUAGAGAUGUGGAGGAACACCAGUGGCGAAGGCGGCUUUCUGGUCUGUAACUGACGCUGAGGCGCGAAAGCGUGGGGAGCAAACAGGAUUAGGUACCCUGGUAGUCCACGCCGUAAACGAUGAGUGCUAAGUGUUAGGGGGUUUCCGCCCCUUAGUGCUGCAGCUAACGCAUCAAGCACUCCGCCUGGGGAGUACGGCCGCAAGGCUG
rnacentral:rRNA from 1 species